UGUACAGCUACUUGGAAGUCCGAGGGCCAACGCGUGGGGUCGCCUGUGACUGCAGAAUUAAAUGGGAGCUCUCUUGCUUUCCCGGGUUAGGUGCACCUAGCACUAUAGGGUCUGCGAGGUAAAGAUGAAACUGGGAGGGCUUCUUAUGCUUACAAAGGUUCUACACUGCUGAGCCAGUCAAUUCUUAAAGGAAAACCGAGAUAAGAUGGCCGGUUAGGUGCGGCUGCAGGGGUUCGUAGCAGUACCCAGCUUGCGGCAGUAGCAGAAAGCGUUGAAGAAGCGGCAAUAGCAUGUGGCACACGGGUCGCAGCACGGUACCUGCUGCCCCAGGCAAGACUCGUGUAGCCUUACACAGCGGCGUGGGGUACGGGGCUCGCGGUUCUGCUGGUCUAAUACCUGCAAUGGCAGGGCAGCAAGAACGUGAGCACAAGGAAGUUCUGGAACCGAAUCUCCAAUCCAUACAGGAGGGCAGUAGAGUGAAGUCUGCAGUGAGCCCCCUCCCACCUUAUAAAGGAGUCUGGAGGAACUUGGAUCAAGGGGGUGAUGGGCCAGUGACUAUUGUGUGAUUUCUUUGGAGAAAGAAGAGUGGAGAAGAUGCCCACCUAGCCAUAAAUAGGCUCUCCUGGCUGUAUCUCUGGUUCUGCCUCCCCUCCCUUUUUUUUAUUCUGACUCUUCUAAGGCCCCCACCCCUACUACUGUCCCCUAGCUCCUUUUGAACCUCAGGUUCCUGGAAGCCAAGGAAGUAGAACGGAUUGUUCCCUGGGUGGUCAAGCAGCUUGAGAGUAAAAAGCUUUCAGGCCGCCUGCCUCAUUAGUGCUAAUGGCUGCCCCUUCCGCCCUGUAUUGUCAGGCCUCUGACCAUGCCUGGCAUCAUCAGUGCAUGUCUGUGAGGAGAACUACCCAUUUGUGAAUGGGGAAGGGCACACAGAUCCCCAUUUGUCCCUGUCUUUCCUUGCCCUUCUGGAGGGUCUUUUAUUACACAUGUGCCCAUCUGGAGAGAGAUGCAAGCUGCAUCAGCUUAGAGGCCCCAGUAUCCAAACUGGACUCGCCCAAAGCAGCAGAAGAGGAUGAAAAAGCUAUUGGGUUUGCAGUCUAGGUCCACACAGGUUCUUUGGACCAAGAGGAUGCCUGUUGAAAUCCUCCCACCAAGUAGCCAUCUGCCAGCCUUUUCCUGGAGUUAACAGCUGUUUGUAUGCAGGCUUCAUGGUGAGGAGGUGUUCUGCAGAGAGUGGGCCUCUGGCAGGCUUCUUCCACAGACAAGCACUGGUGUCCAUUCUAGAAUCAGGCGCCAUUGGGUUCUCCCAAGGUUGGCUCAGAAUAACAAUCCUUGGAGCUCAGAAGGUCAUUUAUUACUGCCUGGGUGUGUGUGUAAGGGAAGACACCGAGGAAUCAGACAAAGCUCCCCUUAGGACAAUCCAGUAAAGGGCCAGACCCCUUAUCUCCCUAAGAAUGAUGGUGACAAUUUAGUGACUCUUUGCCAAAGCAUACCUAGUGUUAAGGCAUCUCUGACUUUAGGCAUUGACAUUUCCCAGAGGCCAUACCUCAGGCCCAUGUCAAGACUUUCUUUUCUCUAGAGUGACACAGGAUGAAGAUAUCAGGCCCCCAGGUUGUGAUUCCAUUCCAGAUGAGUCACUUGGAGCUCAGGAAGGGGCCUCACACAUGUUAUUGUAUAUGAGGCACUUUUCCCCAAAUCCUUAUAUCCUUGUCCCAUCCCUAGAGAUUCUGGCUGAAAAGAUAGGAAGCACUUAAAUGAGCAGGUACAGAAAAUAAAUCCUCUUUUGCAACCCAGAACUCAGUGUUAGGUAUGAGUUUUGAUACAUUAGAGAAGGAAUAUUACUACUAGGUGCAGUGGUUACAGAUCUGCGAUUUUUUUUUUUUCUUUUUUCUGAACCGGGGAUUGAACUCAGGCCCUUGUGCUUACCAGGGAAACACUUAUUCCACUGAAUCAUCUCCCCAGCCCCUGAGAUCUGUGAUCUUGAGGCUGAGGCAAGAGGAAUUAAGUUUGGACUGUAUAGAGUGAGAUUGCCUCAAAAAAGAAAAUAAAAAUUUAAAAAUUAUUAUGCAAAUAAAAAGAGAUAGGAAGCAAGGAUUGCAUGUGGAUUGGAAAAGUGCUCUAGGGAGCUGGGGUGGGGACUUGGCACUGGCUGGACCCACUCAGUAUUCAUCCUACGGAUAGGUCUUCAUGUCUGGCCUGGGGCCUCCUCCCACCCCAGUGCUUAGCUAUAGAUGUGUGCCUGCAGGUAUAUCUGCCCCACAGAUAGUACCACACAAAGGCCAGGUUGCUCACAGGGACAGCCUAUGACCUUGCUUAGGCCCAGUGGAGGAGACAGGCCAACCAUCACACAUGAUGACAGCCACAGUGUUGCCUAUUUGCAACCUCAGCUACUUGAGAGAUUGAGGCAGGAGGAUCAUAAGUUCAAGACAAACCUUAACAAGCCCUGUCUCAAAAUUAAAUAUAAAUGAAUGAAAAGAACUGGAAAUGUAGUUCAGUGCUCCUUGUAUUUAAUCCCUAGUAAUACAAAAUAAUAAUGAUAAUAAUAAUAAUACCUCAGCUGAAGAUGGGGAGGGAGUUGUCUAGGGAAGGCUUCCUAGGGGAGGGAGCGCUUCAUCAUGAAACUUGGAUAGAACUUGAGGAAUGGUAGGCAAAGAGACAUUGUAAAAAUUCCUUGGACUCAUAACUGGCACCCUCUUUACUCUGAUAUCUAAUUUGGUUCACUCAAGAGCGCUAUCCUAGUUAACAAUCAGCAGACUCAUUGCUGUCAUCUGGAGAUGAGACAAUUACCUCUACCCAAGUGCUCCUCAGAGUUAGUUCCACCUGUGAAUUAGCCAGCAGCCUAUUGUAGCUACUGUCAGCUGCUACUGUAUAGCUGUUGUGAAUGUGCAUUGACCCAGACUUAGCCAUAGGAGACCAAAACCACUCGCAUCACCCAUAAAAUCAAGUAAAGUCCUCCAGAGGAGAAAUAAACAUUUGUUUAUAUCCUCUCCUACUCCAACCCCCUUUUGCCUUCAGUGCAGCAUCACCCAACUGCCCCCCACCCACUAACAUGUCCCAAAUGGGUUUCUUCUCAUAG